rnacentral:rRNA from 1 species
UACGGAGGGUGCAAGCGUUAUCCGGAUUCACUGGGUUUAAAGGGUGCGUAGGUGGGCAAGUAAGUCAGUGGUGAAAUCUCCGGGCUUAACCCGGAAACUGCCAUUGAUACUAUUUGUCUUGAAUACUGUGGAGGUCAGCGGAAUAUGUCAUGUAGCGGUGAAAUGCUUAGAUAUGACAUAGAACACCAAUUGCGAAGGCAGCUGGCUAGACAUAUAUUGACACUGAGGCACGAAAGCGUGGGGAUCAAACAGG